rnacentral:siRNA from 1 species
UAGACCCGGGUUCGACUCCCG